UGUGUUGUUGUUGUGAUGACGGAGUGGAUGUAGCGGCCGGAGAAUUGUCUGUACUGUAACUUUGUUACUCAGUGUUAGAUUAAUAAAUCCUCAAAGAAAGUAAAGCGGACUUUUAUUCACAAACCCCGGGACGAAGGGAAUUAACCCCAAAGUUUACUUAGCCGACAGUACUUUGGCCCUGGAGCAGACAGCAACGCCUCCCCCUGCAAACUCCGACUACGGUCAGAGACGGACCGGCAGGAAAGGUGAACACAAGGCUAACGAAGUUAAUUGUCAACAUUAAUGUGCCUGUCAUGGUAUGAGGCCAGACAUGGCCCGUGCAAAGUCAUGCCACCAGUCUGAGGACAUCACUGGGAAUGGCACAUGGGACACGUGGCUUUCAACUCCAGCGAGACCCAAGUCGACUGGACCACAGCGGAAAAUGAUCCUUCCAGAGAAGAAGUUAUUUACUUCUACAACGAAUGGAAGAGUUACAACUUCCAGAUGACAGCUCUCCGCUCAUCCUUCUGGGCAACUUGAACAUCCGACAGAACUUAUGUGACCUACUGCGUUUAUUUUCUCCUUUAGCUCUCAUUUAAGUAUUAAAAUUCGCUGUAUUUUUGCAAGAGAGGCACCAAUCCUAUUUGAGUGACGUUUCGAAUGUGAAAUUGUAUUGGACCAUAUAGGUCAUCUGCAGAGCGUUGGCCCCUGGCGCAGUAAACCAGGGUUUGAUUCUUGGCAUGCACAAGACUCCUCAUGUGACUUAAAAUGAAUCCAGAAUGCAAUAUUUGUUCAGUAUGCAAGGGCAGUGAUUUAUUUAGUCAUGUUUGGUCAUGUUUUGGUUUUUUUACAUGACAAUAUGGUUUGGUACAUGCUGAGUUAAUGAAUAUACAUUCUAAAGUGCAAUGUCCAUAUGUGAAUAAGAGUUGUAUACGUUUAUCAUAGUCAACAUGGUGUGGAAAUAUCCCUUAUGUAGUUGGUCAAU